rnacentral:rRNA from 1 species
AGUGAACGCUGGCGGUAGGCCUAACACAUGCAAGUCGAACGGCAGCACAGUAAGAGCUUGCUCUUACGGGUGGCGAGUGGCGGACGGGUGAGGAAUACAUCGGAAUCUACUUUUUCGUGGGGGAUAACGUAGGGAAACUUACGCUAAUACCGCAUACGACCUACGGGUGAAAGUAGGGGAUCUUCGGACCUUGCGCGAUUGAAUGAGCCGAUGUCGGAUUAGCUAGUUGGCGGGGUAAAGGCCCACCAAGGCGACGAUCCGUAGCUGGUCUGAGAGGAUGAUCAGCCACACUGGAACUGAGACACGGUCCAGACUCCUACGGGAGGCAGCAGUGGGGAAUAUUGGACAAUGGGCGCAAGCCUGAUCCAGCCAUACCGCGUGGGUGAAGAAGGCCUUCGGGUUGUAAAGCCCUUUUGUUGGGAAAGAAAUGCAGCAGGUUAAUACCCCGCUGUUCUGACGGUACCCAAAGAAUAAGCACCGGCUAACUUCGUG